UUAUCUCGAGCAGAAAGAAAAAAAAAAUAGAGGCAGAACGCCUCUCUCUCAUCCUCUUUGGUUUUUCAUACAAAAAUCAUGAUCUACGAAGAUCAGACCGUCCAAACUCAAUUCCGACUUCGGAAACGUGAUCUACGAAGCCUGAUCUACGUUUCUACAGAUUGGUUUAAGGAUUUGUUGUGAGGAGCUUGCUAAACACUCUCCAAGUGUUGGAUUUACAUUUGGUGAAAUUUUUGUGACGCAUUGCAAGGUGGUGUCUAGGAGACCUUGUGCUUAAUAUCUGCGCAGCCAAGAUGAGUAUUCUACUAACUGAGAAAAGUUACUUUCUAUGUAUUUUAUAGGAAUGCAAAUAAUGUGUUUUUCAUAUCGAACCG